AUCUGACCCGAGAGAAAAAGAAAUAGGAAGGAGAUGAUUUUUCAUACAAAAAUUAUGAUCUAUGAAGAUCCAACCGUCCAAACUCAAAUCCGACUUCGGUAACGUGAUCUACGAAGCCCGAUCUACGUUUCUACCGAUCGUUUUGAGGCUUUGUGUUAUUUGGAGCUUGCAAAGAUUCCCAAACACCGGGUAUUAUUUGGGUAAAUUUUUAGUAAUGCAUUGCAUGGUGGUGUCUAGGAGACCUAGUGCUUAAUAUCCGCGCAGCCAGGUGAGUAUUCUACUCACUGAGAAGUAUUAUUUUCAUAAAUGAUUAAUUGCAAAAUAUAUAUUGUUUUACAAAUCUGAACCAACUGUAUGUUGAUUAUGAAUUGUUUUGGAUGAUUUGAGUACUUUGGAGUAUAUUGAAAUAUUGAUGAUGUUUUGAACUAUGAAUAUGAUUGGUGAGUUUAGAGUGAGUAUAAAGAUUUAAGUUAUGCAAAUUGUUAAAAAAAGACAUGUUGAAUUGAUUAUGUUUUGUAAAGAAAGCAUGUGUUAAAGUCAUGAUUAUGAAAUUAAAUGUAUAGUAUUUGAGCACGAGCAUUGAGCAUGGCACGAACAAGACCGAGGUUCAAUUCCCUUAGGCAUACGAACAAGACCGGGGUUCAAUUCCCUUAGGCAUACGACAAGACCGGGGUUCAAUUCCCUUAGGCAUACGACAAGACCGGGGUUCAAUUCCCUUAGGCAUACGAAUAAGACCGGGGUUCAAUUCCCUUAGGCAAACGUACGACACGCAUGCACAGCAUUUGUUUCAUGAUAAUUGAAUUGUUUUCAUGUUUUUGAUAUAUAGUAGUUUUAUGCUAGACGUAUUAAUAUGCAUAAGAAUCUCAAUGGAAAAGAGCUUAUGUAUGUUUCUAUCGGAUGACCACACGUUUUAUAUAUAUGGUAGUUUUGCUAGACGUAUUAGUAUGCAUAAGAGUCUCAAUGGAAAAGAACUUAUGUAUAUUUAUAUCGGAUGGUUGCAUGUUUUAAAUGCCAUUGUUUUCUAAGUCUUACUAGAUCAAAGGUAAUAUAGUAGGUGAGGAUGUAUGUAGUUGUAUCCAACAAUGGAAAUUCUACGUAUAAACUCAGCUGCGUAGUAUGGUUUAAAUGUUUUCUAUUAGUCAGUGUCUACUAUAUCAGCUAUGGGGGUUUUCAAACAAAAGUUUAUAAAAUUGGUGGCUGUUAUAGUAUACGCAUGACUAGAAAAGAAAGGUUGGUUCUUUGCGAAAACUUAGUGAAUAGUAUACCUCUGAGGUCUUAGUGUAUUUAUUUAUGCUAAGGCGGUGGGCUCAUAAUUCCACCUGUACGGAUGCGGCAACCCCCGCAACCGUGCAUACAUUGAUGCUUUGGUUGCAGGUUUUGCGGAUAUAGAUAUUGACUCGUCCACCUAGCGUAUGGGAUACUAUGAUUGGAGCACAUCGCGACAGUCAUAAGUCACGGACUCAUGGGUAGUCCGCAUUUUGGGUAUUUUAUCUAUGGCUCGUGUCCUACGUGGCACAUGUAUUAUUGAGCGUAUAUUUUAGAAUGUAAUUAGUGUAAUAUGUUAUAUAAGCCUUAAAUAGAUAGACUUGUAAAUGGCUCUGGUUGUAAUUAACUGUUGUAUAAUAGAUGUAUUUCCGCUUAUGAUAUGUGUUCUGCUACACAUUGAUUACUAUAUUCCGCUGUUAAAUGUAACUCUGAUUAUUAGAUGCAUGUUAUGGGACAUGUGCCAUAUGUUGGCUGAGCGACAUGUAGUCGUGCCACUGUGAA